GUGACUUGUUAUAUCUCCACAAUGCUUGCAGCAUCCGACACUGAUAGCACAGACCUCGAUGAGCCCGUAGAAUCCUCCAACACGGGAUCUAUCGACCUAGAUCCUUUCGACUAUGUCUACUCGAACAUCCCAGACAGCACGCACAUCCUGAAGCACGCGGCAAACUGCGACCAUUGCAAGGCCAAGAAGUUCCAGUACGAGACUAACGGCUUCUGCUGUCGGAACGGGGAGAUUGAGCUAGCUGAA
rnacentral:rRNA from 1 species